UCUUGAAGUAGAGGUGCGUUAUACAUGAGUACUCGGGCGAAUAUCAUAAGGGAUAAGGGCCGUCCGCAGAAAGGGUCAAACGCCGAAGAGGGAAAAAGCCUUUUCUUUUUUUCUCUGGUUGUCCGGUUAAGAACCGUACAACUGUCAUUGGUACCCCCAAUGGAGCGCUACAAACUAA
rnacentral:ncRNA from 2 species